CUUGCUCUGCCGGCGACCGGCGCACGGGUGAGUAACACGUAUGCAACCUGCCCUCCGCAGGGGGAUAACCCGGAGAAAUCCGGACUAAUACCGCGUGAUACACUUGUGGGGCAUCCCACGGGUGUUAAAAGGAAGUGAUUCCGGCGGAGGAUGGGCAUGCGGCGCAUUAGCUGGUUGGCGGGGUAACGGCCCACCAAGGCGACGAUGCGUAGGGGUUCUGAGAGGAAGGUCCCCCACACUGGUACUGAGACACGGACCAGACUCCUACGGGAGGCAGCAGUGAGGAAUAUUGGUCAAUGGGCGGGAGCCUGAACCAGCCAAGUCGCGUGAGGGAAGACGGUCCUAUGGAUUGUAAACCUCUUUAGGCGGGGAGCAAUGCCGGGCACGCGUGCCCGGAGGGAGAGUACCCGCAGAAUAAGCAUCGGCUAACUCCGUGCCAGCAGCCGCGGUAAUACGGAGGAUGCGAGCGUUAUCCGGAUUUAUUGGGUUUAAAGGGUGCGUAGGCGGAUUUUUAAGUCAGCGGUAAAGUGUCCGGGCUCAACCCGGGCCGGCCGUUGAAACUGGGGAUCUUGAGUGGGCGA
rnacentral:rRNA from 1 species